rnacentral:tRNA from 1 species
GGGCUGCUGACAUCUGAACUGCAAACUCAGAGAAUAGCUUAAAGUAUAAGCACAGCCCU